rnacentral:lncRNA from 13 species
AUGGACCCGGGCCAGGCACGGAUGGGCUCGCCAGCUCGGGGGCGAGCAGGUCUAGGCUUCCCAGAAGCAGCGUUUUAUCUCCCUAGCAAAGCAGACGGAGAUAGGGAUGGCAAACCAGGGCGCCGCGUAGCCCCCGGUGCCGGUGGUGAUGCUCGGGGCUGGCGCAGCAUCUUCUUCCUCCUCCCGGCCUCUCGCCCCGGGCCCUGCGCGGGGGGGGGCACGGGGAGCGGGGCAUGCAAAGCUUUCCCGCUCCGGGUUCCGUGUAGGAGCAUCACCACGGCCCGGGGCCGGCAGUCCGGGGGGUACCGCGGCCUCGCAGCCACGCACCGGGCAGGGGCCCCGCACAGCACCCCCGCCCCGCAGGAGCGCCGCGCCCGCCGCUCCCUAGCAGCAUGCACAAGGCAGCCCCGCCAGCCUGCAACCUACCUGGGGGGCCCCAAAAAACUUUGCUGGCACGAGCGAGCGCCAGUGCGGGAGACACCCCGGCAACCUGCGCUGCCCCCCAUCCCUUGGCAUCUCAAGUCCCAGCCGGGAGAAGCCAACCUUGCCGCGAGCGUCCUGAGGAUGGGGAUACCCUGGACUCACAACCGGUCUCUCGCCCGAAUUGCAGCCUGUUAGUUCCCACUAGGAGCUCCGGCAGCCGUCGAGGGAGAGAGGCAGGGGCCUCUCUACAGCUGCAAAUCCUCUGCGAGGCGGGCGGAGCAGACAAGAACGGAGGCGACGCACCCAUACGAGGUCGGCACACAACAUCAGGGAAAGUUUUGAAGAGCGAAGGACCUGGCAGGCUGGGGAGGAGGCGAGGAGAGCCGGGCUGAGCUGCAGGCGCAGCGAGGGUGCGUGGUCUGUCUGCUCCUCGGUUGCUUCUCCCUUCAGGCUGGCUGGGGCGGUGCAGUGCAGCUGGGGGAGCUCUUGGGAGCCGCUUUAAAAAAAAAAAAAAUUAAAAAAAUCCUUCCUGGAUUUGAUUAAUUACAACAAUCCCCUCCUCAGAAGAUCUGGAAAAGAAGAGCGAGGAUCACCUAUCCCUCCCUCCGCCUUUCAGCAGCUGGCUCCUACCCCCCACCCUCGCUUCCCCCCUUUUUCUCCACCUCCUUCUC